rnacentral:lncRNA from 1 species
AAAAUGAAAAAAAAAAGAAGCAUUUCUACUAGUACUCAUGUUGUUUUGACAAAGAGAUUGAAAGUGAGUAGUACUUUAAUGUUUAGGGAUCCGUAGUGUAUCUAACUCCAAUUCUUUUGAUUAACCUACUUUUCCAAAUAUAUCCCACUUUAACCUAAGCCACGCUAUAACCUUGAAAGACCUUUAAAGUGUGUGUGAUUAUAUGACUUUGAAUGAUUGUUUAGAAUUUCUUCAAGUUCAUAGCAAAAUGCAUUAACAUGUUGAUUUGAGCGGGCAAAUGCCAUGACCAGCCCCACUGGCUUGAGAAUUGGUGAGGAAGAGAAUAGGAAGGAGAGUGUGGUUGAAAGCAUGAACUAUCUUCUCUAAGUUUGCCCCGCUUGAGCAAAAUUGGUAAGUUAGUCAACGCCGGAAGUGGAACGAAUGAGGAUCUGAGCACCCUCUCGGAAAGGUAUGCCAUUUUCAAAUUUGUGCAAUUUCUAACUUUUGUCUAUUUUGUUACUUGAGGACAAGCAACAUAUUAAGUUUGGGGUUGUGAUAAUGUCUCUAUAGUUAGUAUUUUUAGAGUCAUUUUUAAGUAGUUUUAAGUUAAAUUGAAUCAAUUCAAAGUGUGUUUUGGAGUCAAACUGAGAUAAAAAGGAUUUUAAAAAUAUUUAGUUGUGUUAAUUAUUUUUGUUAUUAAUUUUCACUAACUAGAUGAAUUUUUGGAGUUUUUGUUCUCUUAAUUUUUAGGUAAUAAAUUGAGUUGUUGGAGUGAAAAAAAAAAAACCAAAGAUCAUGUUCAACGCAUAAGCCAAAGAAGGGCUGAACUUGUUUCCAUAAGAAAAGUGCAGAACAAAUUUCAAUCAGCUUGAUGUGCGCCCCGCAUGUUAAAAUACACACAUAAGAUUUCUCUUCCUCAUAUUAGUUCCAACGUGGCACCACAUGAUAGGCUAUAAUGCACUCAUUUUAUUCAUGUGGUCCCACCACAACAAGUGACCUUGACAUGAAGAAAGAGAGCACGUGAUUGGAGGAGGGGAAUUAGGUUUCACUUGUUUUGGAAUAUAAAAAGGAGGCAGCUGCAACAAAUACAAGGGACUUUUGGGAACCAGAGAGAAGAAGCAGCGCAUGACAAUGGGAAAGGAAGGCAACGACAAUUAAAGGGAUCCGGAUAGAGAACGACGAUGCAGGGUGACGUUGGUCUUGUCGGAAAAUUUGUCCGGUUUAUUCUCUUUUCUUUGUUGUUUAUUUUCUUUAUCAUGAGUAGCUAAUUUUCAUGUUGUUAGGGAUGAGAGUAUCUAGAUGACAACUUUUGUUAUAUGAUUUUCUUUUGAUUAUUGAAGAAGUUUAUUGAAUCAUUUUUCUUAUCUCUAUUCUUAAUGCUUUUAUUGCUUGGCCGCCUUUAAAUUGAUAUACGGUUUAUAUUGUGAAACAGAAGUUGAAUGAAUUUAUAAACGCUUUCAGAUAAGAAAUUAUUGCCUUUGUAAUCUAGGAAUAGAUGCAAACCCUUGAAACCAAUUACGAAUUCUUGUUCAAUCAUGCUUAAUUCUAAUCUUAAAUUCACUAAGGAAUUAGGGAUUAUUUUAGGAUUAAUGAUUUUUUCACUAAGGAAUUAGGGCAAGAAUAAAUUAGAGAAUUCGGUAAUGAUACGAUAAGUCUAUUCAAUGGUCAUAUUCAAGUUGUUAACUCAAGAUAGUCAUCUGGUGAAACUCAUCCCUGACAAUCUUAUUAUUAUAGUUCAAUCCAAUUUUACUUUACUUAAUUUUCAUUAUUGC